CCACACCCCCCUCACAAACCCAACCCUCACCACUGAAAAGGUACAGUGUAUGUAAAGCCUAGUACUAAUCUGUCAGAACAGCCUUGUUAUGUUACUAUAUGUUCUUGAACAUUGUAUAUCAAUGAACGCUAAAUGUUGUUACGGAAUCCUCUAAGCACCAUCACACAACCAUGAGAGCAAAUAGCAACGAUGAAGGAAAUGUUAC